UAAUUCUAUGAUUCUAUGAAUUAUGAGGUUCUCUCUGGGACUCCUCUCUCAUGGCUGCUCCACUACAUCUUUGGCCGCAUUACUGAGAUGUAGAUGCCCUUCUGAGGAGGAUCUGAAAGAGGCAUGCAACACCUUCCACGAGAUGGGGAAAACAUGUGGUGAUGAAUAAUCCUAUUGUAGAAAUAGAUGGACUUCACAGAUUUCCCACAAGCUGUUUCUUUUGUGCUUUCAAGCUUCUGGGAUCUCAAGAUGAAAAAGAUAGAAGCAGAUGAAAAAGUUAAAGGCAGCAGGCUCUUCCUCAGAUUGGCUAAUAGGAAACUUUUGUUCCUUUAGAGGAGCAGAGGAACUGCCUUCAUUUCAUUGAGGUAAGAGCUGGAAAAGACCUGUCAGACCACCAAAUGAAUCACUUGUUAAGUACGGG
rnacentral:lncRNA from 1 species